GCCUAGAGAGAACCUCAAAGCCAGCACUUACCACAAAAGGGGGUAUUUCCCAAAUAGGGUUUUGGGACUAUGGUAGAGUGAUCAAAGCAGUCAGGAACUGCACAUGGUGGUGACACGGGAAACAGGCAUAGUAGAUGAUGGAAGGUCCAGGAUAAAGGAUGAGGACCUGAAAUCAUCCCAUCAUGUCUCAUCAGGGACACAAAAAGGAGUCUGAGGUGCACAGCAGAAAACUACCAGUAGCACAGGGACCAUCAGUGCUUGCUGGAAGUUCACCUGCCUGCCUAGGUGAGGACUAGCCAGCAGUGGAGAUGUUGAGUAACAUGGGGCUGGUGUGCACUCCUCCGAUGCAGCCAGCUGUGUGCUGUUCAUCUCUCCAGAUUUCCUAGUACUUGUUCUCUUGUUCUGGGAAGAGGAGAGAGCUGCAAGAGGCCCAUCUCACGGGGAUGUUUAGAGAAAGGAAAGUCCAUUGUGUGAAAGAAUUUGGUAUUCCAGGGUUUGUUUUCCUUCUGACACAGAACAAAACACCACCAUGUCAAAACCCUCUGUAAGGCAAAACAGAACCAAAAAAAAUCCCCCAAAAGCAACAAACUGUGGCGUUUAGUUUGGACAUGGUCUGUAGAAGCAUUUUUCUUUUCUUUUUGGGUUUUCAGUCAUCAGGAUACCAACUACUGUAGCUAUUUCAGGAAAAGGAAAAAAAAAAAAGGAAAACAAAAUCCUUGCCAGAACAAAGAAGGGGAGCCUUUUCCUGCGCCAAGAUCCAACCCUGCCUUCAGUGGGUUUUCUGUGUGGUGGCACCAGGAUCAAAGUGGUUCCCUUCUUUCUGCCCUAGGAGGGGAGCAGAGCUGCAAAGGACCCUCCAAAUCUUAAGUGGGAAAAUCAGGGAACAGGCAUUGCAGUGACCAUAGAAGGCAUCAGCAGAGUGGUUUUGCAUUAGCUUUCCAUGAGCAGAAGGACUCCUACAAAGCAGUCAAGAAAUUUUAGAAAGCUUGCAUGUAAAGGUUGGCUCCCAGCAACAAAACUGGGGGCAAGUCACUGAUUUGCUUGGUGCUUUGGGUUAGACCCUGCAAAUGUCUUUCAUGUCAAGAGCCUCUGGCCCAGCUCUCCGGCCCAGUUUCCCAGCUUCCCUGAUGGUCCUGGAUGGGCUUGUGUCUCUCUUUAUGCUUUCAGCCCCUGGGAAGGUGCUAUUUUGUAGGUACUGCUGCUUGGGUGAGUUUCCCCAGUGGGGCAAUCCAGGGUGCCGAUGUCUUCAGUGGCGGCAAAAAAGCAGCCCGCCACCACGUCUCUCUGCGAGUGUUUUCUGAGCGCUUGGCAUGGCGCCUGGCCGCAUUUCACUGCUGCCUUUUCAUUUGCGUUAAUUCACUGCGUUUCCUUUCUUGCUCCUUGCAAGGAACAGAGGGAGAGCUUGUUCCAGCAGACUGGCCCCAUCCGCUCCACCCGGCUCUGCUGGAGCGAGGGUUGGAAAAGAGGGAUGGAGGCAAAGGGGUAUCUCCCACCCCUCCGGGGCCCCGUGUGCCGCCUGCGUGCUGCUUCCCAGCAAAUACGCCUCUUACAGAGUGCUAAAAUACUACCCUGGCCAUUGGUAUGACAUGGAGGAGGAGACUUGGAGACAGCAACCCUGACACCCUCAGCUUGGUUGUGCCAGAUGUAAUGUAGGAGGCUGGAAAACCUCAGGUAAUCACUUCGACCACAUUCAAACCACUUACUAUGGAGUAUGAUAAAGCCCUAAACAUGCGCGGGGCUGGAGGGACAUUGUGAGCAAUAUCAUCCAGAACAGCAAUGGACCUGGCAUGCUCUGCAGCUGGUGGGGAACUGCAGGACCCUGUUCAAACAAACCUUAUAUGGUGCUUUUAUUUCUUCCCACUGAUGGUGUACAGAACUAGGGAUCUGGCAGCUCUGGAAAUGCAAAAUCCUGAAGUAAUCAUGGUUUUCAGGAUAAUAGUAGGUACUGAAGUCUGUAACUGAAGUUACAUAGUCAGAAGUCCGAGGAGUGCCCUUGGUUUUGCGGUGCUGUAUCUGGUGGGCAAAUUUUUCCCAGCCCAUGACCAAUUCUCCCUGAUGUUUGAGGAAAAGUGCAAGCAAAAAAGCUUCAUAGUGCAGUAACCUAGGCCAUUUUCUACAAAAUAAGGCAAUUAAGGACCAGAAACUCUUCCAAAGUGCUACAAAGACAUGACGCUGUUGUUCGUUUUGUCUGGACCUGAGCCCAGGGCCCAUGACUAGACCUGUCGUAUCCCCACACCUUCAAAGCCAGAGCCUGGGCUGUGUUUGUGCUCUCCUGUCGCAGGGUGAGAGCUUUCCUGGAGCCACCGAAAGAGCUUGAACACUUUCUUCUGUAAUCUGUCGUGACUGUCAGGAUGCCAAGAGACAUGCCAGACCUAGACCCUGGGCCAAAAUAGCUAUGUAGACAUGCCCAGAAAGGAGAGCUGGCACAAGGUGUUGUAUAAAGUGAGAUACAUGAAGCUGCAGGCAAAUAUUUUGGUAAUCGCAUGGGUAGCUUAGGCUUGGCAGAGGGCAGGGCACGUCUGCUCAUCAAGAAAGGAGGAGGCAAAACUUUAUCAGCUUGGAAAAGGGUUGGAGCCUGUUUUAGUGGGAACUCAGGGGAGCUUCAAGGGGUUAAACAAAAAUAAUUGCCCCAGAAAGGUUGAGGUGAAGGACUCAGUAGUGUCCCAGGGAGGCCACAAGCACCUUUUCAAAAUAGGUUUUUCCAGGUGACAAGAUCCCAUUCCUGAUAAUGUAUCAUUAUAAUUACCAUUUCAUGGUAAGGUUCAGAAGUGACUGGAGGAAGGACCAUACACUUUGCUCAAUGUUUGUGCAGGGAGAGCCUCCACGUGUCUCUUCACCUCCGUGUUGACCUAGAAAGUUCAGCCUCAAAGGAUGGGAGAGGAAAAUCUAGUCCCUACAACUGGGGUAGCUACAGCACAGAGUCAGUGAGGCAGACCGCAGACACACUGCACUAAAGCAUUGCACCUAAUUAGCUUCUGCAAGUUGGGUAUAUAUAUGCCCGAAGAGGUUGUUACUGUCGCUCACAGCCAUCCAGUUCCCUGCUGAAUGUUUUUGAUCAAAGUCUUCCCAAGCUGAUCUAUUUUCAGCCCAACCCACUCAAUACCUUGAUUGCUACACAGCUCUUUUAGCUGCUCUUAGGUAAACAUGCUGUCGCUCCUUGGCAUUUUGCCUUUCUAAGCCAAAAAUACAAGUGGCACAGAAAAUAAGAGAAGCUGUUCUCCUUCGCCAGGAAAAAUUAUGCUAUUUCUGAAAUAAACUGUUUUUAAUACACCUCACUGGCCAUGCACGUAUACACUUACAUAUAAAUAUACUUGAAAUGGAGGUCCAGCUGUUGGCAUCAUCUGCAUACAUGGAGACAGAAACAGAGAGACAAUUAUGUACCUAUAAACCCAGACACAUCUUCAGUCCAGUCUGUAUCUGAAUGCAGAGUUUUGGUUAUGCUGAGAUAUCAGGGGCUGACUCCCAUUAAAAUAGGUCCACGUGUACUCAACUCAAA